GAUGAACGCUGGCGGCGUGCCUAAUACAUGCAAGUCGAGCGAACGGACGAGAAGCUUGCUUCUCUGAUGUUAGCGGCGGACGGGUGAGUAACACGUGGAUAGCCUACCUAUAAGACUGGGAUAACUUCGGGAAACCGUAGCUAAUACCGGAUAAUAUUUUGAACCGCAUGGUUCAAAAGUGAAAGACGGUCUUGCUGUCACUUAUAGAUGGAUCCGCGCUGCAUUAGCUAGUUGGUAAGGUAACGGCUUACCAAGGCAACGAUGCAUAGCCGACCUGAGAGGGUGAUCGGCCACACUGGAACUGAGACACGGUCCAGACUCCUACGGGAGGCAGCAGUAGGGAAUCUUCCGCAAUGGGCGAAAGCCUGACGGAGCAACGCCGCGUGAGUGAUGAAGGUCUUCGGAUCGUAAAACUCUGUUAUUGGGGAAGAACAUAUGUGUAAGUAACUGUGCACAUCUUGACGGUACCUAAUCAGAAAGCCACGGCUAACUACGUG
rnacentral:rRNA from 1 species